GUGCUUGUGGUGUAGUGGUUAUCACAUCCGCCUAACACGCGAAAGGCCCCAGGUUCGAUCCCUGGCAGGCACA
rnacentral:tRNA from 1 species